ACGGCUCUUUCCCCCUAAAGUAAACAAGGAAGCAUGUGGUCCUGGCAGAUGAAGUCAGCCAUUUUGUGAUCCUGAAGAUGAAAUUGGCUUUUCAACUUGAGCUACAGCUGUAACCAAAUCAUAACUGAAACUGCCUCUCCCUCUAGACUUUUCAAUUAUGCACUGACAUCCUUGUCGUCUUCCUCUUCCUUGAUCCUGAACCAGAGUCCAUCCCAGAGCCUCCGUGCUGGUGGCUUUGUCUGACAGCUAAGUGCUGACCAACCAUCAUGCUUACCGAUGUCCUCGAAAUCCUACCCUUCCGCCAGAUCCGCAUUGCCCAUCUGUUUUCAUCUGCUCUGACAAAGUUUUGAUGACACCACACAGUCGUCAAAGGUACUUGGUACCUGGCACAGAUAUCCGGAGGGGAUGCAGGGACCACUACACCCCAACACAGCACCUGGGGAAACUCCUGAAGACCCUAAGGCGACAGAUGUCCUGUCCUACACACAGAGGGAGGAGGCCGAGAAGGCUCUGAGCCACGUGUCUUACUAAGUGUCCCCUGGACUAUCACCCUUAAGUCAAACUUCCUUUUUGUUUAAUCACACUUCUGUACAACUGUCCCUUCUUGAUUAAAGCUAAGCAUAAAAAGACACCAUGUUCUCUGGGUCUUUGGCUCCAGUGUCACUUAGGACUUUGGUUCAACAGGUUUUCUCUUGUUAACCCAUCAUUUGUUAUAGGGGUGUCAGAGUGAACCUUGCAAUGGGUGAAAAUAAGACAAAAACUUCCCC
rnacentral:lncRNA from 1 species